rnacentral:lncRNA from 1 species
AUGAUGCGGCUGGUGAUGAGAGCGGAGCGUAUUUGUAGUGCCAUCCUCCGUAGACCCAUAGAGUCAUUUACACUAGAAAAGUGUUAGCUCUAGUAAACAGAAUUAUAAAUGAUACCUUACAGUGCCUUUCUUCCUGGGAGCAGCACACGCAUGUUGAAGCUUACUUCUGCUUGGCAGCGUAUAUCCGUCAACGGGCUCCCUCGUCCCUGCCCCUCAGCGGCUCCAGCUGGCGGCCAGAGCUGCAGCUGGUGCCCUGCGGGCUGUGCUCUCACGCGUCAGUCACAAUCGGUCGCUAAAAAUAAUUGCCAGACUGUUUCUUGUGUGUUUUGCUGAGAGGAUGAGAAAUAGACAAAUUCGUUCUUUUACUAAAGCAAGUCAAAAGCAAAUAAUCUAGGUUUCAUUCUGGACAUUUUAGGAACUAGUGUGUUUUGAUGCCAUGGCUCAGAAGUGGUAAAGAAUUAGUGAAAAAUGACAAUUGGAACCUUACUUUUAUUUUAAGAUGGCAAAGAGGAGAGCAUGAAUGCUAAGAAGGCAAAUAUUUGUUUCUUAGGAAUUGGAUCAAAGAAGUCGAUGCACAGAAACUCAACAGCAAAGUUUUGCAACCGUUAAGUCAGGUAUUCUUCAUUAGCAGUGCCAAGAAGCACUGGGGAGAUUUCCACCAUAAUCACUUCAAAGAUCACAUGAUUCAGAGUCCAUUAUAUUGCCACAUGAUGGAAGGGGAGGGGCUUGAUUCUGCUUACUUUAAUAAGAUAGAAAGGGGGGGUUGGAUUCUGCUUGGAUGGUUUAGAUUUUGCUUAGCCUAAUAUAAUAGAAGGGAGAGUUUGGGUUCUGCUUGGAUUCUGCUUACUGCUUAAAUUCCACAGGAGCACUCUUUUACAGCAAGGAAAACAGGUACCAGACUCCUUGUCAGCAAGGCAGGGAGGAAACCGGAGGAGGGAGCUAGGAGAAAAGAGGCCCCAGUCUCCUUGUCAGCAAGAUAAUGAGGAAGGGAUGAACCUAGUCAGCAAGAAUUAGGAUAGGGAGGAGAAAAGUAGGCUAAAGUUCAAGAAGACAUGAUGAGGAAGAGUGUUUACUUCAUCCCAAGAGACCACCAGAUGGGGAUGCGACCACCCAGAAGAGAAUACAACGCAUGCGCCAGGGGGGGGGACUUGAUUAAUGAAUAUGUAGAGAGUUCAAGGUAAUCUGUUGAAUAUGUAUGAGCCUGACUUACAACUAUGUAACACUUCUAUUGACCAGUGUGCAAGUUAGGUGGAGCUAUCCCCCUUGCACCUGGCAUCUGUACAUUCGUCUGAAUAAACGCUGCCUGCUUUAUAACCU